rnacentral:lncRNA from 1 species
GCUGUGGAACAAUGGUCUUUCUACUUUUCAUUUGUUAAACAUUGUGGUUAGCUGUGCAUUAAGCAUAUGAUUAUAAAGUAAAUUGAAAAUAUUUUAUUGCAAAAAUUAAAAGAAAAAAGAAAGAAGAGAAGUAGAGAGGAGGGAUGAAAUAUAGUUCUUUUCUUAAAAUUAUAUCUAUGGAAUCUGUUCCUUUAUAUUAAUAAUUUUUUUUUUUUUUUUUGACAGGCAGAGUGGACAGUGAGAGAGAGAGACAGAGAGAAAGGUCUUCCUUUGCCGUUGGUUCACCCUCCAAUGGCCGCCGCGGCCGGCGCGCUGCGGCCGGCGCACCGCGCUGAUCCGAUGGCAGGAGCCAGGAGCCAGGAGCUUUUCCUGGUCUCCCAUGGGGUGCAGGGCCCAAGCACCUGGGCCAUCCUCCACUGCACUCCCUGGCCACAGUAGAGAGCUGGCCUGGAAGAGGGGCAACCGGGACAGAAUCCGGCGCCCCGACCGGGACUAGAACCCGGGGUGCCGGCGCCGCUAGGCGGAGGAUUAGCCUAGUGAGCCGCGGCGCCGGCUAUAUUAAUAAUUUUUUAACAAUUUGAAAUUUUUAAAAUGCUAAUGAUGCUGUUUUUGAAAAUUUUCAUCUUAGAUGAAAUCAAAAUAGAAAGAUUUUAAAACAGAAACAAAUAGGUAGUUAAAGGGAAGAAACUAUAAUGAUAUAUAAUAUUAUUUAUUAUUGCAAAUUUGAGUAACAUUGUUCUUCCCUUGAAAAAUAGAGUUGGGCAGUUUUGUGAAUCUUGGUCAAUCAGUCUUACUAUCACACCUGAUGUAAUUAUUAAUGAAUGAAAUGAAACUUGCUUCUAGGGGCAGGAAUCCAAGAAUCCAAGAAUGAAAUCUGCUUCCUCAGACACCAAUUUUACCACAAUUGUGAAUGGAAGUUGGCUUCUAAAUAAGGAAGAGAACCACCUUCCCCUUUCAUCAGGAGAAAGCCUUUUCUCUAGGUUGUUGCCUGAGUCUUACUGGUUGGAGGUAGAGCACUGAGACAUCUGUGUUACAGCUCAAAACAAAGAAGAAUCGAAGUUAGAGAAAUGAAUUGAGGUGUUUAAGGUCUGAGGUGAUACUUUCAAUUUCCACUUAUAUUUUUUUUUUAGUCCAAAUCUAGUUGUAGAGGAUACUGAGAAGUAUGCCAAACUUGGUGAAAAGGACGAAGAGAUAAAAGACACCAGGGGAUAAAAUCAAUACAAGCACUUCAUUUGCCUUAUAUCAAAAUCUUGUCAUUGAUUGUCCAUCCAACAAAUAAUUACAC